rnacentral:rRNA from 1 species
GAUGAACGCUAGCGGGAGGCCUAACACAUGCAAGCCGAGCGGUAUUGUUUCUUCGGAAAUGGGAGAGCGGCGUACGGGUGCGGAACACGUGUGCAACCUGCCUUUAUCUGGGGGAUAGCCUUUCGAAAGGAGGAUUAAUACUCCAUAAUAUAUUGAACGGCAUCGUUUAAUAUUGAAAGCUCCGGCGGAUAGAGAUGGGCACGCGCAAGAUUAGCUAGUUGGUGAGGUAACGGCUCACCAAGGCGAUGAUCUUUAGGGGGCCUGAGAGGGUGAUCCCCCACACUGGUACUGAGACGCGGACCAGACUCCUACGGGAGGCAGCAGUGAGGAAUAUUGGUCAAUGGGUGCAAGCCUGAACCAGCCAUCCCGCGUGAAGGACGACUGCCCUAUGGGUUGUAAACUUCUUUUGUAUAGGGAUAAACCUACCCUCGUGAGGGUAGCUGAAGGUACUAUACGAAUAAGCACCGGCUAACUCCGUGCCAGCCGCCGCGGUAACAC